GGGGCCUUGAAGGGAGACCGUUGAGCUGGGGCGUCCCUCGAGCUGAGCACCUCGCUAAAGUCCGGGAGAAGACCCUGAGGCGGGGUUCUGAGGAGGUUUUCAUGCUGGCUUCAGAGUUUGGCCGUGCUCCCUCAGCGUUCCUAAUUUCCCACUUUCUGACUCUCACCAUUUGCCACUCUUGUCUGUGAUUGAGACACCCGAGGCCCAUUCAGGAUGGAGAGUAAUUUUUUCUCUGUCUUAACUUGAAGUUUUAAAUAGACCACAGACGCCAAGUAUAUUUUGGUUCAGCUUUUAAAUAGAAGUCGCAGGCCAGCCUUCGUGCCAGCAGCGCCAUCGCUGGCAGCAUCCUCCUCCUCCCCUCACGCGGAGACUGACUUGGGGAGAGUCAGGAAACAUUUGAGAGAGCAGCUGCCGAGGUGGAGGCUGUGAUGUAUCUUGGAUGAAUCUCUGUGCAAACAGUUCUUUGGGUUCAAGACCUAGUACAGGGCGAUCCUUUUUGUUUUUUCUGUCUGAAUCAUUUUGGUGGAAUAAAUAGCAAAACAUUC
rnacentral:lncRNA from 1 species